UACGUAGGGUGCGAGCGUUAAUCGGAAUUACUGGGCGUAAAGCGUGCGUAGGCGGUUCGUUAAGUGCGUCGUGAAAGCCCCGGGCUCAACCUGGGAAUGGCGAUGGAAACUGGCGGGCUGGAGUAUGGCAGAGGGGGGUGGAAUUCCGCGUGUAGCAGUGGAAUGCGUAGAGAUGCGGAGGAACACCGAUGGCGAAGGCAGCCCCCUGGGCCAAUACUGACGCUCAGGCACGAAAGCGUGGGGAGCAAACAGG
rnacentral:rRNA from 1 species